rnacentral:sRNA from 1 species
GCAUACACAAACCUGGAAAACUUAAAA